UGGGAAAGAAGAAAGUUGGACAGGAACAAGAUAGGUUAGACACUUACCCCUGGAGAGAGGUCCUUGAGCAACAGAAGUUAUUUGAAUCAACUCAUCAACAAGUCACAGAAGGCAUAAUUUUAAUUCUGAAAGAGAAUAUAAAUCCUACGAGCCCUGGCAAUGUCCACAUUGAAAUUUAUGACAAUAGUUUGGGAGGUGGAAGCAGAGAAAGAGACCUGACGGGCGUGUAGGAACCCUACUAUUAAAUAGCACAGAGGGAAGAGGAACUGUUUUAAGGUGAAAGACUACAGAAUAAAGUUUUGAGAAUAUUAUUUAAAGUCCUGAUAGUAACCAACAGAAAACCUAGAAAUAAGAUUGUAUCUGACUAAAUAUGGGACAAGUCAGGAGGAGUGUAGGGUAAUAUUGUGACUGAGCACAAUCCCCA
rnacentral:lncRNA from 1 species